AUGAGUUUCGUUGUCGUUGUUGUUAUAACUCUUAUUCAUAGUGUUCAGAUGGCCAGAUAGCUUUUUUACUGUGAAAAAGGACAGACUUGCUGUGGUGAGUUGAUUUGUUGUCGUGCCGGGUACAUCUGUAGAAAAGGGGACUGCGUCGUCGAUGAUUCGACGACAAGAACAACGCAGCCAGCAAGAAGAAGGUGGUCACAUAGAAUAUCUACUGUCAAACCUAAAACAUAUUCAACACGAAGACCAAUAACAUUUUUCCCAAGACUCGCAACAAACAGCUACACGUUUACUGUACCUAAAUACAGCUACAGUUCCUCUACUAGUAGGUACAGAUACCGCUUUCCAAUCAUCGGAGGUACUAUAGUAAUUGUAAGCCUCAUAAGUGUUCUUAUGCGUGUUUGCUGCAAAAAAUUUAAAGAUCAAAUAAGAAAUGGGCGUAUAAUUACAACCCCGACCAAUACAUACUUAUAUGCACCAACUCAUGGAAACCCUGCUACAAAUGCGGCAUCCAGUAUUUAAACAUCAGAAUAUUUCGGUUUCUAUCAACGAGUUAUGUUCUUCAAGCUACAGAGAAUUUUUUAACAUCAUCAUUUUAUAUACUCGUAGAUAAUAUAUUACAUAUAUGAGCCGCGUCACGACAAAACCAACAUACUGCGUUUGCGACCAGCAUGGAUCCAGACCAGCCUGCGCAUCCGCGCAGUCUGAUCAGGAUCAAUGCUGUUCGCUUACAAACUCUAUUACAAGUAGAGAAACUGAUAGCGAACAGCAUGGAUCCUGAUCAGACUGCGCGGAUGCGCAGGCUGGUCUGGAUUCAUGCUGGUCGCAAACGCAUUACGUUGGUUUUGUUAUGGCGCGGCUCAUAUAAUUUAUAUACAUUUGUUUGAAGAUAAGUUUUCGUUAUUGAUAUACUAGUAAUUGUGGACAAGAUUACGGCUUUGAUUUGAUACAAGAAUGUAAACCUGUGUUUACUUGAUAAAAAGAUGGACUUUGCUUUUUUUUGUAAAAUACCUGAAAUAUUUUUCUAGUUCUUGUCAUUUUAAGUGUAUUUAACAUUUAACGUGUGUAUGGAAAUAUGUCGUCAAAACAUACAGAAUUUUCUUACUCACUUAGAACGUUGGUAGAUCGUGGACGAUAAAAUAGUAAAUUCUGUAAUUUUUCUUCAUAAUACAUCUCCUGGAUUGUCAGACUAUAUAUAUGUUUCUGAUUUUUGAAUAUUUUUUUUUACUCUUACCUUUCACUCAUCUACGGGCACGUUACUUUGAAGUUGUAUGCUACAAUCCAAUACACAGGGAAAAUCAAUGAUAGAAUUUAUUUCAACUUUGCAUGAUGACAUACACAUUUUAAGCGAAUCAUAAAGGGACGUCGAACUCGUUCUUGAGUUAUCUGACCUUGAAUUUGAAAAA